GGCAGAGGGUGCAAACGUUGCUCGGAAUUACUGGGCGUAAAGGGCGUGUAGGCGGGAAGGCAAGUCGGGCGUGAAAGCCCCAGGCUCAACCUGGGAACUGCACUCGAAACUGCCUUUCUUGAGUGCCGGAGAGGAAAGCGGAAUUCCUGGUGUAGAGGUGAAAUUCGUAGGAUAAUCAGGAGGAACACCAGUGGCGAAGGCGGCUU
rnacentral:rRNA from 1 species